UACAGAGGUCUCAAGCGUUGUUCGGAUUCAUUGGGCGUAAAGGGUGCGUAGGCGGCGCGGUAAGUCGGGUGUGAAAAUCUCGGAGCUUAACUCCGAAAACUGCAUUCGAUACUGCCGUGCUUGAGGACUGGAGAGGAGACUGGAAUUUACGGUGUAGCGGUGAAAUGCGUAGAUAUCGUAAGGAAGACCAGUGGCGAAGGCGGGUCUCUGGACAGUUCCUGACGCUGAGGCACGAAGGCCCAGGGGGAGCAAAACGGG
rnacentral:rRNA from 1 species